CUUUCCCUCUCUCUGUUCUGAUAGAAGCAGACUAGCAGAAACUCCCUCCCUCUUCGUUCCGUUAGAAUCAACUCUUUGUUCUUUGUAGAUCUCCGGCGUCAAAGAUCUGAAGCAAUCCUUGGCCGACCCACAGGGAUGAGUUCUUCAAAUAAUUCAGGGGGAAACAACUUCAUCGGAAAUUAUUUAGGCUAUGGACGAAUCUCUGGUUCAGACAACAGCAGCGGCAGCGGCGGCGGCGGCGGCGGCAAUGGAAAUAAUUCAAAGGGGUCAGGAAGUACCAAGAAUCAGAUAGGGCGCCUGCUAAGCUAUGGGAGUCCGAGGCCACCUCCACCCAAAAAGUAAACAAUGCUUCUUGUCUGAUAGGCUCCGUGUGUGUGUGUGUGUGUGUGAGAGACUUUGUAUGAGGAUUGUGUUUUGUUUCUGUUUCGUUGUUUCUCUGGUUCUGUUUCAUUGUGUGUUUCAUGGUUUUAUUUAGACUGGAGGCUAUAUUUCAUGAAGCAUUGUGUGAGGAUUGUUUGUUGUUUCUGGUUUUGGUCUUGUAGGCUUUGUAAUGUGUUUUGAGUAAGUUUCAUCUUAAACAAGAAUUCCAGUUUCAUCUUA